ACGCCUACGGGGCGCAGCAGUGGGGAAUAUUGCACAAUGGGGGAAACCCAGAUGCAGCGACGCCGCGUGAGCGAAGAAGUAUUUCGGUAUGUAAAGCUCUAUCAGCAGGGAAGAAAAUGACGGUACCUGACUAAGAAGCCCCGGCUAAAUACGUGCCAGCAGCCGCGGUAAUACGUAUGGGGCAAGCGUUAUCCGGAUUUACUGGGUGUAAAGGGAGUGCAGGCGGCUUGGACAGUCUGAUGUGAAAGGCUGGGGCCCAACCCCAGGACUGCAUUGGAAACUGUUAGGCUGUAGUGUCGGAGAGG
rnacentral:rRNA from 1 species